rnacentral:rRNA from 1 species
AUUGAACGCUGGCGGCAUGCCUUACACAUGCAAGUCGAACGGUAACAGGUCUUCGGACGCUGACGAGUGGCGAACGGGUGAGUAAUGCAUCGGAACGUGCCCAGUCGUGGGGGAUAACUGCUCGAAAGAGCAGCUAAUACCGCAUACGACCUGAGGGUGAAAGCGGGGGACCGUAAGGCCUCGCGCGAUUGGAGCGGCCGAUGUCAGAUUAGCUAGUUGGUGGGGUAAAGGCCUACCAAGGCAACGAUCUGUAGUUGGUCUGAGAGGACGACCAGCCACACUGGGACUGAGACACGGCCCAGUCGCCUACGGGAGGCAGCAGUGGGGAAUUUUGGACAAAGGGCGCAAGCCUGAUCCAGCAAUGCCGCGUGCAGGAAGAAGGCCUUCGGGUUGUAAACUGCUUUUGUCAGGGAAGAAAUCUUCUGGGCUAAUACCCCGGGAGGAUGACGGUACCUGAAGAAUAAGCACCGGCUAACUACGUG